rnacentral:rRNA from 1 species
CCUACGGGAGGCAGCAGUGGGGAAUAUUGGUCAAUGGAGGCGACUCUGAACCAGCAACGCCGCGUGAAUGAUGAAGGUCCUAGGAUUGGAAAGUUCUUUUCUAAGGGAAGAAGAAAGCGACGGUACCUUAGGAAUAAGCCUCGGCUAACUACGUGCCAGCAGUCGCGGUAAUACGGAGGCGGCAAUCGUUAGCCGGAAUGACUGGUGGUAAAGGUUUCGUGGGUGGUUUGACAAGUUAGUAGGGCAACUCCGGGACCCAAAUUCGGGAGUGCUGCUAAAACUGUCGGACUGGAGUGGAGGAGGGGCAAUCGGAAUGCCUAGUGUAGCGGUGGAAUGCGUAGAUAUUAGGAGGAACACCAGUGGCGAAGGCGGAGUGCUAGACUGUAACUGACGCUGAGGCACGAAAGCGUGGGGAGCAAACAGGAUUAGAUACCCGAGUAGUC